CAUUAGUAAUGGCUGUUACCCUGAAUAAGCAUUGCUCUGACAGUCCAUUUCCCUUUUCACACACUCAGGAGGCUGAGGCUGGAGGAUCAUAAGUUCAAAGCCUGCCUGGAUUACAGAGUUAGUUCAAGGCCAGUCUGAGUGAUUUAGAAAAGUUAUGCCUCAAAAUAGAAAGUAAAAGGGGGCUGCGGGUCAGGGUAGAGUGCACAUCUAGAGUGUGCGGGGCCCCGGAUCUGAUCCCUAGUACCGUGAAAACAAACAAGCGGCCGAGCAAAACAAUGGCUGCACUCCAGCUCGGCGGCCUGCACCUUCUGCCUCUGCUUCCUUUUCUCAAGAUGACAACCGGACCUCACAAACACAUCUAUUCGCCCUUCCCCCACCCUGCUGCUGGUACCUGUAAACAUGGAUCUACACUGUUCCUAGUGCUGACCCUCUCCUAGAGCAGUGGAGACCUGAAGGCUCUCAUCCACACCCUCUCAGCUAUCUGGACAGCUCACACCCAAGUGCACAACCCUAGGAAGAGCUUUGUAUAAAAGCAGCUUUUCUAAUGGGUCCAUGAUGGGAAAGUGAAAUUCAGCCCAGGUCAUACAAAACCUCUUCUUCCUUCUAGGUCCUUCUGGCCCUGUUAAUUCCUCAAAGGCACACACCAUACACUGGCUUCAUGUGCAAGCUCUUGGUCCAGAGAGAGAAAACGUGCCUCAGGUUUAUGUUGUACAGGCACGGAGAGUGUCCUUCCACAUUCCCAUGGAAAUGGCCAGCGCCAUAAUAAGAAAACAGGAAAAGAAGAACCCAUGGAGGAACUUAAGGCAUGGUCCAGACACGUCAGAAAAUUUAGAACCUUGUAAGAGCACAAAGGAAGAAAAUACUUUUUAGGGGCUCAGCAUUAAGAAUUCCCUCUGACUUCUCUUCACAAACCAGGUAAGCUUAUCCAACAACAGUACGUUUGAUGAUGUGUGCUUGUGUGCACGCACAUCCCUUUAUGUAUAAGUGAAGACAAUGACCACAGUCCUGACCAGAACAGAGCAGAAGAGAGGCCAUGCAAGGCACGGUGGGUGCAGCCGUCACCUUAGCACCUGGCAGGCAAAGACAAGGUUUGAAGAAUUUGGUCGUGCUUCGCUUAGAGGCGGCUUUCAUGCUUCCUGUUUAUUUACUUUUCUGCCAGUUGAACUUUUUGGAUAUGUGAUUUGCCAUCUGGCAUUAGUAUAGGGGAGUCAGAAUGUCGUUUUUGCCUUAACAUUUUGUCUGGUCCCUUCCUACACUGAUGUUCCCAGUAUAGGAAGUACAUAGUACAUAGCUGUUCCACAGUUCUUAAAUACCGUGGUCCGGGUUCGCACCCUGCAUCUCCUUUCCACUCCGGGGGUUUGUCACUGUCACACUGGUACGUCUAGACAUGCUUUCCUCAUACACGCUGACAAGCCCACCCCAGUCAUCUCUGGCUCAGCGUUCUCAUUCAUCGGUUGGGUCACAAUAACUUUCCAGCCGCUUAUCUGCUGGGCUGGAAGCCCGGUGUCCUCAGAGCAGAGCUGGAGAAUGUCCCUGAGAGUCCUCUCAACCAGAAGAGGCCUGCUGUCACCACCCAGAAAAUUCUUCCAAGGGGUUAUUGAAAUUCAUGAUGCUACCCCCAUUUCUUUGACAGAAGACAAGAGUUCCCAAUUGCUGACGUUAAUGGAACCUUUUCUUCCUUCCUAAAUGUGGCGGAAAAUGUCACUUUCAAAGGAGGGAGAGACAACCAUCAAGUUUAAGUGUUUGGAAUCCCUGUUGAGCCAUUGGUAAGGCUCCGUGAGAACGGUCUGAAUUUUCCCAUUUCCCUAGGCCUGGGAAGAAGAAAGAAAAGGUUUUCGUGUUGAGAUUUUUAAGCCUAUUGGUAUUGGAACUUGAACCAAAUGCAUUUGUAUUAUGAGAUGGUCAUGGGCCAGGAUUGAAAUGUUAUGGUUUAGAUGGAAGAUGUCCUCCUUAAUAAGCCUGCCCAUGUGUUUGAACAUUUGUUUACCAGCUGCUGGUACUGUUUGGGGAGCUUGUGGAGUCUUUGGGAGGUAGGGCCCAGAGAAAGUGGAUCUCUGGGUUUGGAGGGUGGGGGCCCUUGAGGUUCAUAGCCCAUGUCUACUUCCUAACUCAUAUGUACCUCCUGGUUUACUAAGAUAUGAGUAAGAAGCCUCGUGUUCCCAUGGUCCUGGGCUAGCCUGCUACCAUGGGGCUAGCCUGCUACCAGGAUGGAUGUCUCCCAUCAAACUAUCAACCAAAAUAAACUCAUCCCUUUAAAAGAAUGGUUCUAAUCCAACAGCUGGGUGUCAGAAAAUUGGAAGAUGAUUUAAGGUAUGCUUGUAUGCAUGUGUGUAUGUGUUCUGGGAAUUAAACAGGGCUUUGCACAUGCAAAUCAAACAUCUCGCUAUUAAUAUACACCUCCAGUCCAGAAAAAGAGACAAUUCUGCAAAGAACCCUAGCUCUGAAUGGGAGGAGACAGACUGUAUGGAAGCUAGGAGGCAUACACGGAGAUGUCCAAAGUAUCUUUUAGAAAGAAAGGUUAGAUGUUCAAAUGGAGGAAAUCAAAGAGAGACUCAAGGGAAGGCGUCUAUAGCAGAAUGUGCCACUCAAAACAUAGCUGCCUGAGACCAGACUAUCACCCCUCAAAAUAUGCCUGGAAGAGACACAAUAAGGCACUCAAAAUAUGUCUCUUUGGCUGGAGGACUAUUUUGAGAACUAGCAGACACAGAAAGGAUUGUCUCUUCUGGUGUUCAGGUACAAAAGUCCAGAACUACAGCUCCAAGGUCAAAAGAAAUGUAUGUAUUCUACUUUUGGGGUGAAAUGUCUAGUGUCCUCUAAAGUGGGCAUUUCAAUAUCCACUCCUGUUGGCUGUGUGUGGAGGUCUCACUGGGCUGCUCUGACUGCCACCAAGUUGUUUGUCCCAUGACUUUGAAUCUGCCCCCUCCCCACUCCGUUGCAAACUUAAAAAGAAGAAAUAUUUAUUUUGGAUCAUGGGUCCAGAGGUUGCUGUUAUUGUCUAUUAUCCUGUUUCCCUGCCCCCGAUUCACAAGAAAAAUAACUUAGAAAUUACCAUUUCCCUUACAUAAGAAACGUCUUAUCAGGGCUGGGGAUUUAGCUCAGUGGUAGAGCGCUUACCUAGGAAGCGCAAGGCCCUGGGUUCGGUCCCCAGCUCCGAAAAAAAAAGAACCAAAAAAAAAAAAAAAAGAA